rnacentral:rRNA from 1 species
AUUGAACGCUGGCGGCAGGCCUAACACAUGCAAGUCGAACGAGUGGCGGACGGGUGAGUAAUGUCUGGGAAACUGCCCGAUGGAGGGGGAUAACUACUGACAACGGUAGCUAAUACCGCAUACCAUCGGAUGUGCCCAGAUGGGAUUAGCUAGUAGGUGGGGUAACGGCGCACCUAGUCGACGAUCCCUAGCUGGUCUGAGAGGAUGACCAGCCACACUGGAACUGAGACACGGUCCAGACUCCUACGGGAGGAAGCAGUGGGGAAUAUUGCACAAUGGGCGCAAGCCUGAUGCAGCCAUGCCGAGUGUAUGAAGAAGGCCUUCGGGUUGUAAAGUACUUUCAGCGAGGAGGCGUUACUCGCAGAAGAAGCACCGGCUAACUCCGUGCCAGCAGCCGCGGUAAUUC